CGAUUUCAAAUUCACUACUAAAUAAGCAUCUGAGAAAUAACUAUAUUUAUAUUGUUGUGUGAUACUACUUACACUACUUUCUAAAUCCACAUCCAAGUUCCCAAAUACUACUUUAAGAAACUGUAUUGAAAACAGAUGAUUUGAUGAAAUAAUCUAUCAAUUUAUAGGUCCUUGAGAGAGCACUUGAAGAAUGUGGAGAUGAUCUGGAUUCAGCCAUUAGAAGCUUGAAUGAACUUUGUUUAGGAUCUGCCGAUAGAAAUGCAGCUACUGCUGAUAAAACUGGUGUCGAGUUAGAAGGAAAUGUUCAAAUUCAAACCCAAGGUAUGAAUGGAAAACCCUUUUGAUUCAAUCUUUAGACCCCUUUUUGACUAUGAAGCAAAGGAGGUUUAGCAACGUUUUAAAUUUUUUGCCAAUAUAUCUUCUUAUACGAUCAUAAACAUGUUUAAUGUUCGGAACAAACUCAUUUAACUAACUACGGAACUAAUGGAGCAUUGAUAGUUUCUUGGCGAGAAUAACAUUGUUCUGUUUGUAGGUAUAACAGCUAAUGGAGAUGUUCCAACUAAGGAACAAACAUCUCCAGAAGCCUUCUCAAUGGAUGGUUCAGAUUGGGUGGAGCUUUUUGUUAGAGAAAUGUUGAAUGCUUCCAACAUCGAUGAUGCCAGAGCUCGUGCUUCUAGAGCACUGGAGGUUUUCGAUAAGUCCAUCCAUGCUCGUGCCGGAGCAGAGGUGGCCCAAAACUAUCACCAGGUUGGUGCUUACUAUGGCUGUUACAGUUGCUAUUGGUUAUGUAAUAUAGGGAUUAAAUUGCACAAAUUGCUACUUUUGUUGUUUGUAGGAAAAUAUGAUGCUGAAAGAACAACUGGAAACACUAAUUCAGGAAAAUACUAUUCUCAAGCGAGCUGUUGCUGUUCAACAUGAGCGCCAGAAAGAAUAUGAAAAUCAAAGUCAAGAAUUACAGCAUCUGAAGCAAGUAAUAUCUCAAUAUCAGGAGCAGUUGAGAACCCUUGAGGUUUGGCUUCAUUCACCGGAAGCAUAUAUGCAUACUAUGUUACUCAAUUAUCAGUUGGAGUGUUGGCUACGGAUAUGUGUUAGAUACGAACAUGCUUAAUUUUUUGAGUCUUCGGAAGGUCAUAUCCUUAGGGUUAAUGUAUUAUUUGGGGUUUGAACUUGCAAGUGUUCUCACAAUGGGGUUUGAACUUUUUUUUGGUCUAAAUUAAUCCUUGAUUUUCCUUUAAAAAACAAUUCAGACUCCGAGAACAAUUGCCAAAUUCAGGACUAACUCGAGAAAAAAAAGUUCAAACCCUAAUGUGGGAACAAUUACCUAGCUCAAGGAUUAACUUGAACAAAAAACAUAAAAAAUCAAACCCCAAUGGGGGAACAAUUACCAAGUUUAGGCCAAAAAAUGGAUUAACCCCAUAUUCUUACAAUCAAUCUUCACAGAUGCAUCAUAUACAGUAUCAGACACAAAUACUUUAGAUCUUUCGGUAAUCUGAUGAAAAUUGUUUGAUCAUCCUCUCCUAACAGAUAAACAACUAUGCAUUGACAAUGCACUUGAAGCAAGCACAGCAAAGUAGCAACAUCCCAGGGCGUUUCAACCCUGAUGUUUUCUAGUAAGUGUUUUUGCUGAUAACUUGGUGUGAAAUCUGUGCUUCAAUCUUUAGCUGUUUUAAUUUUAAAGUUUGUAUUGUUCUCUUUGCAGAAUGGUAUAGGCUGCAGUUAAAAGAUAUGCCUUCGAUUUUUUUAUAAACAAAAAAAAAAAAAAUACAUGAAUGGUAGUUUAUUUUCCCAAUUAUAUACUUGAUGUGGAUAUUUGAUAGUAGAAAACAUUUGUAGGCUUUAUAUGCAUGGAGUUUAACCUUUAUUUGUGGUUUUUUUUUUGUCACAACCUUUUAUUUGUGUUACACAUACAUUCAAUGAAUUAAAAAUUAGAUCCAAUUUCAUUCGGUUCUAAAAACUUGAUCAAUGAUUAUAGGUUCUGAUCAUAUUUAUUCUUUCUGACACAAUACCUAGAAUUACUUAUAGUUCCUCCUCAAUCCAUAAAUAGGAGAUAAUGCGUUUUAACACACUCGAGUCCACGUCUUCUUGCAUUGGCAACAAUGCUCAUGUCAAUCAAGUUAAGAAUUAAUUUGAUGUAAUGAUAUGGUGACUUAUAAAAUAAUUUUAAUAAAAAAUUGAAAUUAAUUUUCUUUUAGUUUUAUACCUUUUUUUUUACCACAUUGAUUGGUUUUGUAUCUGUUGAUUAGCUUUCACAUCUUUUAUAUGUAUCGAAUCAGACAAAGUAUUGAUUUUCAGUUAAAAGAACUUGUUCAACUGAUUGGUUUAAUCCAAUUUUUUUAUAUAUACAAUGCAAAUGUAAACCGGUAGGCAUUUGCCCAAAAACAGAACUACAUUUCAAUCCCUUUAAAAAUUAUUAAAUUAUAAUUUUAUAUAUGAUAAAUUUGCACCUUGAUCUCCAAAAUAGAAGAAAAAAUGUUUAACCCUUUUUAAAAAUGAUGAAAUCAUAAAUUAAUAUAUGAUAAAAUUAUAUUUUUGACAUUUCAAAAAUUUAUAAUUCAAUUUCGAUCCCAAUUUUCUAAAUUCGAACAUGUGUAUUUAUAUGAUAUAGAAGAUAUAGCUUAAAGUUUACAUUUUGCUUUCAUGAUCAUGCUAUCAAGUUUAGGGUGAUAAUCGAGUUAAACAGAAGUGAACUUAUCAUGAAAAUCGUGCUUGAAACUAAUAAACUCAAGCUACAUCAAAUUUAUUUUAAAAUAUUUUUAGUUCAAGAUAAUAAUUGUCUAAAUAGGGUUUUUAUCUAUUGAAAAAUAAAUUCUAUCCUCAAACUCAGUUAUAUGUGAUUAACCUCAAAUUUAAAUCUAUAUAUUUUUUCAAUAUAGAUUGUUGAAGAUAUUGUGCUUCUAAAUAAAUAAAUUAAUUAAUAUUUUAUAUUUUUGAAUUCCAAUUCAAAACAAUGGAUCUAAACUCAAGCUCAAAUAAACAUAAACCAUUCAUCAAGCAAAUUUAAGCCAUCAAGGAUAAACAACUUACAUACACAAUGGGCACACAAUGGGCAGACCAUGGAGGCGUUUUAAGGAGUUUCCCUCGCAAGAGCACCUAUGCUUCUCUCACAAAAGCAUCCUCUUCUUUUACUGUGCUAAAAACUUUUAUAACCUCUCUCUUUAUCAAAGCUCAGAAAAAACGAAUGAGAGAUCUAAUAAUUCUAUGUAUGUGGGAGAGCCAAACACCAAAAUCAUUAGACCUAGGCAUCUACCCGAUCAACCCGAGGCCAAGAAUAAAAAGCCUGUAAAUAUGCACGAUAAUAGCAAACACAAGGGGAAAGGCCCUUUUAGACGGGUGUUUAU
rnacentral:lncRNA from 1 species